rnacentral:lncRNA from 1 species
AUUGGUGGGUGGUUAGUGGUAGGAGGGAGAAAGAGAGGAAAAGGUAAGAGUUAGAAGAGUGGAGGAGAAAGAAGAAGAAGAUGAGAGUUGAGGAUUGGGGAAGAGCUGACAGUAGGUUGAGAAAGAGCCAAUGGCGAGUGGGCAUUUAGUACAAAAGAGAGGGGCUUUGCAAGAGAGAAAGAGGGAGAGAGAGAGAAGAAGAAGAAGAAAGAAAUGAGGAGAAAAAGAGGAAGAGAAAAACAUGAUAGGAAAAC